AUGUCCGGCGCACGCGCCGCCGCCGCCAAGAACAAGCCCUCCACUUCCCCCAAGAAACGCAAAACCCCGCCGGUCCCUAAAGAAAACCCCAAAUACGACGAGGCUUCUCCUACUCCGAGCCCCGCCGCGGAAUCCGAACCGGAAACGGUGAAAGAAGACGCCGGCAAGGUGGAACCGGCGCCGAAGAAGCCGCGCGCGGCGAGCGGAGCGGAGGAGCGGACGGCUCAAUUGAAGAGUAGGAUUGAGCUGCUGAAGAAGGAGGACUUGGAGUUUGACCCGAGCGCGAUGGCGAAUUGGGGCAAAGGCGAGAGGGUUCCGUUUAUGUUUGUUGCUUUGGCUUUUGAUUUGAUUGAAAAGGAGAGUGGGAGGAUUGUGAUUACGGAUAUUGUGUGUAAUAUGUUGAGGACUGCAGAAGGAGACUUGGGUAUUGUUGCGCAGAGAGGCCGUUCAUUACAGAAAAUGAUGCGCCAGCCUGAGCCAUUGACUGUCACUAAGGUUUUCAACACAUUUUGUACCCUUGCUAAGGAAUAUGGGAAGGAUAGCCAGGAGAAGAAAAAGAACCAUAUGAUAGCACUUCUUGUGGCUGCCACUGGCUGUGAACCUAAGUAUUUGACCCGUUUGCUUCAGUCGAAGAUGCGAAUUGGAUUGGCGGAGCAAACUCUUUUGGCCGCACUGGGACAAGCUGCAGUCUAUACUGAAGAACAUUCUACACCAGCUCCUGAAAUUCAAUCUCAUUUAGAAGAGGCUGCAAGGAUUGUUAAAGGAAUGUACUCUCUUCUUCCUGUCUACGAUAAAAUCAUCCCUGCCCUUCUGAGUGGUGGUGUUUGGAAUCUUCCAAAAACAUGUUGCUUUACUUUGGGUAUCCCAGUUGGACCUAUGCUUGCAAAGCCAUGUAAGAGGGUAUCUGAGAUUGUACAAAAGUUCCAGGAUACAGAAUACACAUGUAAAUACAAGUAUGAUGGGGAACGUGCACAGAUACAUUACAUGGAUGAUGGUUCUGUUGAGAUAUACAGUCGAAAUGCUGAACGGAACACAGGAAAGUUCCCUGAUGUUGCGGUUGCAGUGUCAAGGUUAAAGAAGUCAUCUGCAAAAUCAUUUGUUUUAGAUUGUGAAAUCGUUGCCUAUGACCGUGAAAAUAACAAAAUUCUGACCUUCCAGGUACUUAACACUCGAGCCCGUAAAAAUGUGAGCGUCAGCGAUAUUAAGAUUGGGGUCUGCAUAUUUGCUUUUGAUAUAUUGUUUCAUACUGGUCGACCACUUACUCAAGAGCAGCUCAAAGUUCGUAGAGAGUAUCUUUAUGACUCUUUCAAGGAAGAAGCUGGAGUUUUUCAGUUUGCCACAGCAAUAACCUCAAAGGAUAUUGAUGAAAUACAAAAGUUUUUUGAUGCUGCCGUUAAUUCGAGUACUGAAGGUUUGAUAAUCAAAACAUUAAACAAAGAUGCUACAUACGAGCCUUCAAAGCGGUCGCUGAACUGGCUGAAAUUGAAGAAAGAUUACAUGGAUAGUUUUGGGGACUCACUGGACUUGGUACCUAUUGCUGCUUUCCAUGGCCGGGGCAAACGUACAGGUGUAUAUGGCGCUUUUCUCCUUGCUUGCUACGAUAGCGGUAAUGAAGAGUUCCAAAGCAUAUGUAAAAUAAGCACUGGAUUUACUGAAGCUGUGCUUGAAGAACGUUCUGUCCGCCUGCGUGAAACAGUGAUACCCAAACCUAAGACAUACUAUAGCUAUGCAGACACAAGUAAUGCAGAUACUCCAGAUGUAUGGUUUGAACCCAGUCAGGUUUGGGAGGUGAAAGCCGCUGAAUUGACUAUUAGUCCCGUGUAUCAUGCUGCAGUAGGCGUAGUGGAUGCUAAUAAGGGUAUUUCUCUUCGAUUUCCACACCUUGUUCGUGUUAGGGAGGACAAAAAACCAGAGGAAGCUUAUCAUCUGAACAGGUUACUGAGAUGUAUAAUGCUCAAUCUAACAAAAGUUCAAAGCACCAAGAUGACAAGAAAGAUGAAGACUAG